rnacentral:tRNA from 6 species
GCCGGCAUAGCUAUAAUUGGUAGAGCAGCGGAUUUGUAAUCCGAAGGUUGGGAGUUCGAGUCUCUCUGCCGGCACCA